GACGAACGCUGGUGGCGUGCUUAACACAUGCAAGUCGAACGGAAAGGCCCUGCUUUUGUGGGGUGCUCGAGUGGCGAACGGGUGAGUAACACGUGAGUAACCUGCCCUUGACUUUGGGAUAACUUCAGGAAACUGGGGCUAAUACCGGAUAGGAGCUCCUGCUGCAUGGUGGGGGUUGGAAAGUUUCGGCGGUUGGGGAUGGACUCGCGGCUUAUCAGCUUGUUGGUGGGGUAGUGGCUUACCAAGGCUUUGACGGGUAGCCGGCCUGAGAGGGUGACCGGCCACAUUGGGACUGAGAUACGGCCCAGACUCCUACGGGAGGCAGCAGUGGGGAAUAUUGCACAAUGGGCGGAAGCCUGAUGCAGCAACGCCGCGUGCGGGAUGACGGCCUUCGGGUUGUAACCCGCUUUCGCCUGUGACGAAGCGUGAGUGACGGUAAUGGGUAAAGAAGCACCGGCUAACUACGUGCCAGCAGCCGCGGUGAUACGUAGGGUGCGAGCGUUGUCCGGAUUUAUUGGGCGUAAAGGGCUCGUAGGUGGUUGAUCGCGUCGGAAGUGUAAUCUUGGGGCUUAACCCUGAGCGUGCUUUCGAUACGGGUUGACUUGAGGAAGGUAGGGGAGAAUGGAAUUCCUGGUGGAGCGGUGGAAUGCGCAGAUAUCAGGAGGAACACCAGUGGCGAAGGCGGUUCUCUGGGCCUUUCCUGACGCUGAGGAGCGAAAGCGUGGGGAGCGAACAGGCUUAGAUACCCUGGUAGUCCACGCUGUAAACGGUGGGUACUAGGUGUGGGGUCCAUUCCACGGGUUCCGUGCCGUAGCUAACGCUUUAAGUACCCCGCCUGGGGAGUACGGCCGCAAGGCUAAAACUCAAAGGAAUUGACGGGGCCCCGCACAAGCGGCGGAGCAUGCGGAUUAAUUCGAUGCAACGCGUAGAACCUUACCUGGGUUUGACAUGGAUCGGGAGCGCUCAGAGAUGGGUGUGCCUCUUUUGGGGUCGGUUCACAGGUGGUGCAUGGCUGUCGUCAGCUCGUGUCGUGAGAUGUUGGGUUAAGUCCCGCAACGAGCGCAACCCUUGUUCACUGUUGCCAGCACGUUAUGGUGGGGACUCAGUGGAGACCGCCGGGGUCGACUCGGAGGAAGGUGGGGAUGACGUCAAGUCAUCAUGCCCCUUAUGUCCAGGGCUUCACGCAUGCUACAAUGGCUGGUACAGAGAGUGGCGAGCCUGUGAGGGUGAGCGAAUCUCGGAAAGCCGGUCUCAGUUCGGAUUGGGGUCUGCAACUCGACCUCAUGAAGUCGGAGUCGCUAGUAAUCGCAGAUCAGCAACGCUGCGGUGAAUACGUUCCCGGGGCU
rnacentral:rRNA from 1 species